CCCUUAGAUGUUCUGGGCUGCACGCGCGCUACACUGAUGCGUUCAACGAGUUUUUGACCUUGCCUGACACGGUUGGGUAAUCUUGUUAAAACGCAUCGUGAUGGGGAUAGAUUAUUGCAAUUAUUGAUCUUCAACGAGGAAUUCCUAGUAAGCGUGAGUCAUCAGCUCGUGCUGAUUACGUCCCUGCCCUUUGUACACACCGCCCGUCGCACCUACCGAUUGAAUGGUCCGGUGAAAUCUCGGGACGGCGGCUUGGUCGCUUGCGUCCGACUGCUGAAACUUGAUUAAACCAUAUCAUUUAGAGGAAGGUGAANUCGUAACA
rnacentral:rRNA from 1 species